rnacentral:rRNA from 1 species
GACGUAGGGCGCAAGCGUUGUCCGGAAUUAUUGGGCGUAAAGGGCUCGUAGGCGGUCUGUCGCGUCGAAAGUGAAAACUCAGGGCUUAACCCUGAGCCUGCUUCCGAUACGGGCAGACUAGAGGUAUGCAGGGGAGAACGGAAUUCCUGGUGUAGCGGUGAAAUGCGCAGAUAUCAGGAGGAACACCGGUGGCGAAGGCGGUUCUCUGGGCAUUACCUGACGCUGAGGAGCGAAAGUGUGGGGAGCGAACAGG